rnacentral:rRNA from 1 species
ACGGGUGAGUAAUACAUCGGAACGUGCCCUGUAGUGGGGGAUAACUAGUCGAAAGAUUAGCUAAUACCGCAUACGACCUGAGGGUGAAAGUGGGGGACCGCAAGGCCUCAUGCUAUAGGAGCGGCCGAUGUCUGAUUAGCUAGUUGGUGAGGUAAAGGCUCACCAAGGCGACGAUCAGUAGCUGGUCUGAGAGGACGAUCAGCCACACUGGGACUGAGACACGGCCCAGACUCCUACGGGAGGCAGCAGUGGGGAAUUUUGGACAAUGGGGGCAACCCUGAUCCAGCAAUGCCGCGUGUGUGAAGAAGGCCUUCGGGUUGUAAAGCACUUUUGUCCGGAAAGAAAUCGCACUUACUAAUAUUAGGUGUGGAUGACGGUACCAGAAGAAUAAGGACCGGCUAACUACGUGCCAGCAGCCGCGGUAAUACGUAGGGUCCAAGCGUUAAUCGGAAUUACUGGGCGUAAAGCGUGCGCAGGCGGUUGUGCAAGACCGAUGUGAAAUCCCCGGGCUUAACCUGGGAAUUGCAUUGGUGACUGCACGGCUAGAGUGUGUCAGAGGGGGGUAGAAUUCCACGU